rnacentral:rRNA from 1 species
GACGAACGCUGUCGGCGUGCUUAACACAUGCAAGUCGAACGAAGUGGCGAACGGGUGAGUAACGCGUAAUCAACCUGCCCUUCAGAGGGGGACAACAGUUGGAAACGACUGCUAAUACCGCAUACGGAAGGAGGGGAUUGCGUCUGAUUAGCUAGUUGGAGGGGUAACGGCCCACCAAGGCGAUGAUCAGUAGCCGGUCUUAGAGGAUGAACGGCCACAUUGGGACUGAGACACGGCCCAGACGCCUACGGGAGGCAGCAGUGGGGAAUCUUCCGCCAUGGACGAAAGCCUGACGGAGCAACGACGUGUGAGUGAGGAGGGCCUUCGGGAUGUAAAGCUCUGUUAAUCGGGACGCGGUACCGGAAUAGAAAGCCACGGCUAACUACGUGCCAGCAGCCGCGGUAAUUC